UAGCUGAAGAUGUAGAACCUAUACUGGCUGAAGUUCAUGAUAGUGGUUUGCUGAAAGAAGCCAAGAAUUUAACCAAAAGCCUUACACGAGCUUCUGAGGAUCUGAGAAAGGUCCAAUCAUCAAUAUUAACUCCAGAGAACACAGAACUAAUUCAGAAGUCUAUCUACACUCUCAUUUUCACACUGAAGAACAUUGAGAACAUAAGCUCCGAUAUAUUGGGAUUUACCGGGGAUGAAGCCACAAGAAAGAACUUGAAACUGCUAAUUAA